AGUGAACGCUGGCGGUAGGCCUAACACAUGCAAGUCGAACGGCAGCACAGUAAGAGCUUGCUCUUACGGGUGGCGAGUGGCGGACGGGUGAGGAAUACAUCGGAAUCUACUUUUUCGUGGGGGAUAACGUAGGGAAACUUACGCUAAUACCGCAUACGACCUACGGGUGAAAGCAGGGGAUCUUCGGACCUUGCGCGAUUGAAUGAGCCGAUGUCGGAUUAGCUAGUUGGCGGGGUAAAGGCCCACCAAGGCGACGAUCCGUAGCUGGUCUGAGAGGAUGAUCAGCCACACUGGAACUGAGACACGGUCCAGACUCCUACGGGAGGCAGCAGUGGGGAAUAGUGGACAGAGGGCGCAAGCCUGAUACAGCCAUACCGCGUGGGUGAAGAAGGCCUUCGGGUUGUAAAGCCCUUUUGUUGGGAAAGAAAAGCAGCAGGUUAAUACCCCGCUGUUCUGACGGUACCCAAAGAAUAAGCACCGGCUAACUUCGUG
rnacentral:rRNA from 1 species